CMCGAGUCSCGAUAGCAAACAAGUACCYGUGAGGGAAAAGUUGAAAAGUACUUKGAAGAGAGAGUAAAWCAGUGCGKKGAARCUGCUCAAAGGUAAACGGGUGGAGUUGAACUGCAAGCUCCGGGGAUUCAGCUGAUGAGUGUGAUUGCGUUCGGGCAGCUUGUCCGGCCUUCUGAUGUCUGUCUAGUGGCAGGUGCCUUCCCUUGGGGGUUGGUAUGUGUGAUGCGCUUACCAUGCGCCGCACGCAUUGGGGGUGAUGGGUCUGCUUGUCAGUGCACUUUCUCGGGGUGUUCACCACGACCGGCACAGCCGUCUGUCUGCUUUGGUCAAACUGAUCAGGUCUGGUUAUUGCUAGGCUUGGUUGGGAUGGAAGGUAGCCCGUGUUCACUUGUUGGACUUUGGGUAUAAUAAGCUGGCCACUGUGGAUCUGUAUGGUGUGUCGGAGAUGGCGGCUUUGCAUGCGUGCUCUGUCCUGCGGGCGGGAUUGAGUCCGGUUGGCUUGUUACUGACUUCGGUUAGUCGGUCGAUGGCUUAGUCUUGUUCAGUGGGCGGUUGCGUGUGUGACUUGGCUUGGGCCAAUAGUCUGUGGUGUAGUGGUAGACGAUCCMCCUGACCCGUCUUGAAACACGGACCAAGGAGUUUAACAUAUGCGCGAGUCAUUGGGGUUACGAAACCCAAAGGCGAAGUGAAGGUAAAGGUUUGGCUAGUCCGAACUGAGGUGAGAUCCCGUUGGUUUGCCUAAUUACUUACCGAGCUGUGAACAGCGGGCGCAUCACCRGCCCGUCCCAUGGCGUAGACAUGUGACCUUGUGUUAUGUGCACCGUCGGGGCGGAGCAAGAGCGCAUACGUUGAGACCCGAAAGAUGGUGAACUAUGCUGCUAAGGU
rnacentral:rRNA from 1 species